rnacentral:rRNA from 1 species
AUUGAACGCUGGCGGCAGGCUUAACACAUGCAAGUCGAGCGGGGUGAUGGUGCUUGCACUAUCACUUAGCGGCGGACGGGUGAGUAAUGCUUAGGAAUCUGCCUAUUAGUGGGGGACAACAUCUCGAAAGGGAUGCUAAUACCGCAUACGUCCUACGGGAGAAAGCAGGGGAUCACUUGUGACCUUGCGCUAAUAGAUGAGCCUAAGUCGGAUUAGCUAGUUGGUGGGGUAAAGGCCUACCAAGGCGACGAUCUGUAGCGGGUCUGAGAGGAUGAUCCGCCACACUGGACUGAAACACGGCCCAGACUCCUACGGGAGGCAGCAGUGAGGAAUAUUGGACAAUGGGGUGAACCCUGUUCCAGCCAUGCCGCGUGUGUGAAGAAGGCCUUAUGGUUGUAAAGCACUUUAAGCGAGGAGGAGGCUCUUUUGGUCAAUACCCAAGAUGAGUGGACGUUACUCGCAGAAUAAGCACCGGCUAACUCUGUGCCAGCCGCCGCCGUAA